rnacentral:RNase_P_RNA from 1 species
CCGAUGGCCCGCGCAAGCGGGAUCAGGUAAGGGUGAAAGGGUGCGGUAAGAGCGCACCGCGCGGCUGGUAACAGUCCGUGGCACGGUAAACUCCACCCGGAGCAAGGCCAAAUAGGGGUUCAUAAGGUACGGCCCGUACUGAACCCGGGUAGGCUGCUUGAGCCAGUGAGCGAUUGCUGGCCUAGAUGAAUGACUGUCCACGACAGAACCCGGCUUAUCGGUCAGUUUCACCU